rnacentral:tRNA from 1 species
ACCUGGAUGGCUUAGUCGGUUAAGCACCUGACUUCAGCUCAGGUCACAAUCUCAUGGUUCGUGAGUUUGAGCCCCACAUUGGGCU